AGUGUUUCAGCUCCAGGAUGCAAAGUGAGCAUGUGCUGAUCGUGGGGAGAUGAUGUUUCUCUGGCAAGAGUACAGCAGCACUGCAGCAAUUUUACUGUUUUAACGUUUUCCAAAUAACUUUUAUACUGUCAAGAUAACUUUCAAAGAUUGUUUACUGUAACCAGCUACCUUGUUUCCUGCUCUGACAUCCAUUUACACUCAGGUUUUACUAUCCAAUAGUAUGAAUAUAAUUAAAAAUAGGCAAAUAUAUUAUUAGAUAAUAGCAACACUGACUUUAAAUGGUGUUUUAUUGUACUUCCUUUUGUAGUAGUAUAGACAUGUUUGGACUUUUCAGUCUCAUCCUGUGUAAUUAAUUCAACAGAUUGUUCAAGGAAGACAAAUGUGUGAACAAAGUCUCUUGAGUGUUAUUGGAGUGCAUUUUGCAUUAAAAAAAAUCAUUAUUUAAUUUCUUUACUCAUAAAAAGGUUAAGUAUGGUAUAGGGCGGCUGUGGCGCUGUGGAUUAGAGCAUUGGUGUUCGGAUCAGGGGAGCACAGGUUCAAACCCCACUGGGGAUUGUCCACAGUAUUGAGUAUGUAAGUCGCUUUGGAUAAAAGCGUCUAACAAGUAACAUGUAAUGUAAUGUAAUCAUUAGUAAUUGUUUUAAGUUUUGACAGCUUUUCGUUAACCCAAGUUUUUACAAUGGAUAUGAAUAUGUGUGAUUUUAUUAAAAGAAAAUGUAACUCCCAACAUUAUUUUCAAUGGCACUUUAUUUUAAGGAAUAAUCACGUUAGGAUAAGAGGGUUUCAUAAAGUAUAAAUUAUGAAUGUAUGUUUUGUGAAAGUCAGAAUUUGACUUUGUAUGAUAAUGCUUGUUUUGAUAAACCUGCUUGUACUUGA